GGUUAAGCGACUAAGCGUACACGGUGGAUGCCCUGGCAGUCAGAGGCGAUGAAGGACGUGCUAAUCUGCGAUAAGCGUCGGUAAGGUGAUAUGAACCGUUAUAACCGGCGAUUUCCGAAUGGGGAAACCCAGUGUGUUUCGACACACUAUCAUUAACUGAAUCCAUAGGUUAAUGAGGCGAACCGGGGGAACUGAAACAUCUAAGUACCCCGAGGAAAAGAAAUCAACCGAGAUUCCCCCAGUAGCGGCGAGCGAACGGGGAGCAGCCCAGAGCCUGAAUCAGUAUGUGUGUUAGUGGAAGCGUCUGGAAAGGCGCGCGAUACAGGGUGACAGCCCCGUACACAAAAAUGCACAUAUUGUGAGCUCGAUGAGUAGGGCGGGACACGUGGUAUCCUGUCUGAAUAUGGGGGGACCAUCCUCCAAGGCUAAAUACUCCUGACUGACCGAUAGUGAACCAGUACCGUGAGGGAAAGGCGAAAAGAACCCCGGCGAGGGAGUGAAAAAGAACCUGAAACCGUGUACGUACAAGCAGUGGGAGCACGCUUAGGCGUGUGACUGCGUACCUUUUGUAUAAUGGGUCAGCGACUUAUAUUCUGUAGCAAGGUUAACCGAAUAGGGGAGCCGAAGGGAAACCGAGUCUUAACUGGGCGUUAAGUUGCAGGGUAUAGACCCGAAACCCGGUGAUCUAGCCAUGGGCAGGUUGAAGGUUGGGUAACACUAACUGGAGGACCGAACCGACUAAUGUUGAAAAAUUAGCGGAUGACUUGUGGCUGGGGGUGAAAGGCCAAUCAAACCGGGAGAUAGCUGGUUCUCCCCGAAAGCUAUUUAGGUAGCGCCUCGUGAAUUCAUCUCCGGGGGUAGAGCACUGUUUCGGCAAGGGGGUCAUCCCGACUUACCAACCCGAUGCAAACUGCGAAUACCGGAGAAUGUUAUCACGGGAGACACACGGCGGGUGCUAACGUCCGUCGUGAAGAGGGAAACAACCCAGACCGCCAGCUAAGGUCCCAAAGUCAUGGUUAAGUGGGAAACGAUGUGGGAAGGCCCAGACAGCCAGGAUGUUGGCUUAGAAGCAGCCAUCAUUUAAAGAAAGCGUAAUAGCUCACUGGUCGAGUCGGCCUGCGCGGAAGAUGUAACGGGGCUAAACCAUGCACCGAAGCUGCGGCAGCGACACUAUGUGUUGUUGGGUAGGGGAGCGUUCUGUAAGCCUGUGAAGGUGUGCUGUGAGGCAUGCUGGAGGUAUCAGAAGUGCGAAUGCUGACAUAAGUAACGAUAAAGCGGGUGAAAAGCCCGCUCGCCGGAAGACCAAGGGUUCCUGUCCAACGUUAAUCGGGGCAGGGUGAGUCGACCCCUAAGGCGAGGCCGAAAGGCGUAGUCGAUGGGAAACAGGUUAAUAUUCCUGUACUUGGUGUUACUGCGAAGGGGGGACGGAGAAGGCUAUGUUGGCCGGGCGACGGUUGUCCCGGUUUAAGCGUGUAGGCUGGUUUUCCAGGCAAAUCCGGAAAAUCAAGGCUGAGGCGUGAUGACGAGGCACUACGGUGCUGAAGCAACAAAUGCCCUGCUUCCAGGAAAAGCCUCUAAGCAUCAGGUAACAUCAAAUCGUACCCCAAACCGACACAGGUGGUCAGGUAGAGAAUACCAAGGCGCUUGAGAGAACUCGGGUGAAGGAACUAGGCAAAAUGGUGCCGUAACUUCGGGAGAAGGCACGCUGAUAUGUAGGUGAAGUCCCUCGCGGAUGGAGCUGAAAUCAGUCGAAGAUACCAGCUGGCUGCAACUGUUUAUUAAAAACACAGCACUGUGCAAACACGAAAGUGGACGUAUACGGUGUGACGCCUGCCCGGUGCCGGAAGGUUAAUUGAUGGGGUUAGCCGCAAGGCGAAGCUCUUGAUCGAAGCCCCGGUAAACGGCGGCCGUAACUAUAACGGUCCUAAGGUAGCGAAAUUCCUUGUCGGGUAAGUUCCGACCUGCACGAAUGGCGUAAUGAUGGCCAGGCUGUCUCCACCCGAGACUCAGUGAAAUUGAACUCGCUGUGAAGAUGCAGUGUACCCGCGGCAAGACGGAAAGACCCCGUGAACCUUUACUAUAGCUUGACACUGAACAUUGAGCCUUGAUGUGUAGGAUAGGUGGGAGGCUUUGAAGUGUGGACGCCAGUCUGCAUGGAGCCGACCUUGAAAUACCACCCUUUAAUGUUUGAUGUUCUAACGUUGACCCGUAAUCCGGGUUGCGGACAGUGUCUGGUGGGUAGUUUGACUGGGGCGGUCUCCUCCUAAAGAGUAACGGAGGAGCACGAAGGUUGGCUAAUCCUGGUCGGACAUCAGGAGGUUAGUGCAAUGGCAUAAGCCAGCUUGACUGCGAGCGUGACGGCGCGAGCAGGUGCGAAAGCAGGUCAUAGUGAUCCGGUGGUUCUGAAUGGAAGGGCCAUCGCUCAACGGAUAAAAGGUACUCCGGGGAUAACAGGCUGAUACCGCCCAAGAGUUCAUAUCGACGGCGGUGUUUUGGCACCUCGAUGUCGGCUCAUCACAUCCUGGGGCUGAAGUAGGUCCCAAGGGUAUGGCUGUUCGCCAUUUAAAGUGGUACGCGAGCUGGGUUUAGAACGUCGUGAGACAGUUCGGUCCCUAUCUGCCGUGGGCGCUGGAGAACUGAGGGGGGCUGCUCCUAGUACGAGAGGACCGGAGUGGACGCAUCACUGGUGUUCGGGUUGUCAUGCCAAUGGCACUGCCCGGUAGCUAAAUGCGGAAGAGAUAAGUGCUGAAAGCAUCUAAGCACGAAACUUGCCCCGAGAUGAGUUCUCCCUGACUCCUUGAGAGUCCUGAAGGAACGUUGAAGACGACGACGUUGAUAGGCCGGGUGUGUAAGCGCAGCGAUGCGUUGAGCUAACCGGUACUAAUGAACCGUGAGGCUUAACCUU
rnacentral:rRNA from 1 species